rnacentral:rRNA from 1 species
AAGGCUUCAGUACGACCCAGUCAGAACCAUAAGUCUCAAAGCCCCGACGAGUAGGGUGGCGUGCCGGUGAGCGUUGAAGGCCAAGACGUGAGUCAGGCUGGAGCCGCCGGUAGUGCAGAUCUUGGUGGUAGUAGCAAGUACUCUGGUGAACCAACCUGGAGCUGUGAGGUCUGGAUCAGGGUUCCAUGUCAACAGUGAUUGAACAUGGGUGAGUCGAUCCUAAGCCAACUGUGAAAGCAGUGACAUCCCGACAAAGGGGCAAUUCGUGUGGCGACCACACACACACGCGUUUGUCGUAUGCACAUUCGCAAGUCUCCUCUCUCGGCGCGCGCACACGUAAGCAAGGCAAAUGGUGGGUGUGCGCGCGCCUGUGUCUCAAGGUUGCACUCGAAAGCUGUAUGGAAAGAGAGAGAAAACGAGACAGUGUCGCGCGUGUGUGCUUGUGCGUUCGUUCUCAAGGCUCCCUGAGUCUGGUUCUAUGUCUGGCGAAAGGGAAUGGGGACUUUGUUCCUUGACCGGUCCCGGCACCCUCGAUAGGCUUUGCCAAUCAAUGGUCCAUGCAAAUGGAACCAGGCCAUAGCCGCCGGCAGUCGCCCGAGGAAGAGUUUUCUUUUCUGCUUAACGCACGAGGUCAUCCCUGGAAACAGUUCGGCUGGCGAAAGGGUGCCCCGUUGCGGCAGAGCGCCACGACUGUCGUGCGCGUCUCGGUGUUCCUGCCGGUCCGUGAAGACGUGGUCGAGGGGAUUGCUCUUGUAUCAACGAAACGCCCGACAAGUUCGGGACGGACCGUACCCUAUAUCCGCAUCUGGUCUCCAAGGUUCGUAGCCUCUGCAGAGUCAGACACAUGUAGGUAAGGGAAGUCGGCAAACUCGAUCCGUAACUUCGGGAAAAGGAUUGGCUCUGAGGGCCGAGCUGGGCCGGGCCUUGCCUGCAAAGCAGUACCUAUAGUGACCGGAGUUUCAGGAGUGCGAGGGGCUCUAGUAGCUGCCUGCGCGUUCACGCGUGUGGGCACGAACGAGUCUACCGCUCCGCUCCAACCACGAACGGCUGUGACGGCAAGGGCUCUGGGCGGGAGCGUUCAAACCGUUGGCCCCCAGCUUGUCUGGGUGGCGGCGGUGCUUCGUCUGACCCAUACGGCUCCAGCGGCUAGCGGCUAACUCAGAACUGUCAUGGACCAAGGGAAUCCGACUGUCUAAUUAAAACAAAGCGUCGUGACGGCCCCUGUUGGGUGUUGACGCGACGUGAUUUC